GCCGUCGAGCGCGACAUUUAGUUAAAAACGCCUGCGAUCACAGUGUCCUGCGGAGUUGCCCAUUGCAUAGCAACGAUCAGUUAGCAACGCUCGCGUCGUCUUUGUCUUACAGCUAAGCCGAUCGCGUCCUUUGUUUUUAAACCAAUGAAAUCCCGUGUUCUUUGAGGUUUAGAGAGCUUAUUUUAUCAGAGUCCAAGCAGACAAGAUGGCGGAACCGACACAGAGCGAAGGAUGGCUUCAAUUCCUUUACAAAUUCGCGCUACGCGAGUUUGAUUUUUGGGAGCCUAACUCGUGCAGAAGUUAAAGAUGUCGUUGUACUACUUGUACUUCAGUUCGAUUUGUGGAUUUUUGGAAGUUUUCCCGUGGUAGAGGGUGCCCAAUUCUACGAGUUGGAUGGCUGUAUGAACGCCUGGCACGCCGACGCGACGCAGGGUGGAUCGAGCUGAAUUCACGAUUCAACUGGUUGAGUUCAUGAUGAAUUGAUUCACCACCCUGCUCGCCGAAAAAGCCUAAAGGAAACUUCCAUUCCCGGAUGAAAUCUACUACAUGCACUUCUAACAUAUGGAACUUUGGGGGAAAGGUCUCAUCUGGAAAUGUGGCUCGGUAAAAUGCAGCGAAUUCUUUGAUGCCAUUUUCUGUGGAGAAACAAGAAACAGAAUUGUUAGACUGUUGAUUUAUAUUUUUCUCUCUUUACAAAGCUUGUGGAACUCAAAUAAUACCUAGAAUUCUGAGCUGAGCUGUAUUCAUUGGAGCACUGCUGUUAUAUAGAAAGUGGACUGAGCCAAACAAGGUGAAGAGUUCAUGGAACUUUUUUUUGACAGCCAUUGCUUCUCCACGCAAUGCUGGGCUGUGCUCUUCCACUACAUUUACCACCACACUACAGAUCUUUUCGAUAUUUUCUGUCUGAAAAUCAAAAUCAAAUCAGAUUAGUACACUUAAAAUAUAACUGUGCUGUAUCAAAAUGUACUUUACCUUUAAUGUUUGUUUCAUAUAUAAUAUUUAAUUAACAUUUAAAAAUUAUUGUUACCACUUGCACCAGAUAUUCCUAGGAACUUGCAGAGAAACUCAAAGUCACCAAAGAGAAACAAUUUGAUCUUUUUGUCACUGUAAAGCAAGCAAACAGUAAUGAGUUAUUAUUAUGAAAUUACUACAGUUAUCACUACAAAUUAUCUUACCGCCAUUGCAAUGAUUCCAAGUCCCCAAGCUGUUCUUUGUAUCUUUGUGUUGCUGCUCUCAGGUUGUUCCUGGUGUCCUUUGCCUCGAACACACAGAAAACUACUGUCUUUUUGCUAGAGUUUGGCUUAUCCACAUUGGCUAAUUGAAAGGCGAAUUUCAUAUUGCCUUGCCCAUGGUCACCCCCUAGCUUCAAAAAGACAGAGUUUUCUGGUAUGUUGCCACCGUGCCAUGUUAGAAGGCCAGCACUAAAACAGAAUACCAAUGGAUAAGUCUAUGCAUGAUCACACAGUUGAAGGGGGUUGACGGACCCUCCUUUUUAUUACACCCACCUGUUAUUGUCAUCAAUGUAUUUUAUGAUGUGUCCCUUUAGAUCAUCCACAUACGCACACGGUGUCUGUUUGAUGACAGUGAUAUAUUUUCUCCCCUCUCUCCUUGAGUGCUCCAUUGGGAAGUCUUCAUCAGCCAAGUUGUCUCCCACUUGUUCCUUCUUCUGUGCCCGCUGCUUUUUCUCACUUUCCAUCUGAAUGCCCCAAUUAGAAAACCAGCUGUAAAAAAAAAAAAACAUAAGAAAUUCUACAAAGCCUUUUUUAGCUUAGUGACGACUCUUACCCCCUUAGUUUGUUGAGCUUGUACCAUGUAACACCAAGAUCCGCCUUCAUGGCCAAGGAGUCUCCUUUGGGGAUUUCUAAAACGAGUUCUUUUCCAAGAACAUCCUUUAACAGUUGCUUUCGCUCCUCGGCAUUUUUCCUUUUGAGGACCUCAACUGUGUGAAGGUCCAUUUCACCUUUGCUGACUACUUCGCCGACCUGUAUAAGGGCUUUAGUCCGUCUUUGUUUCUGCCUUACACUUACAACACUGCUGGAGGCCUGUGCCUGAGGUAUUUUCAUGACCACGGUUGGCUGAAAGAGAAUAAUAAUGUAAUUUAUAAUAUUGCAAAAAAAGAAUAAAAAAUAUAGUAAGAACAAAA